rnacentral:rRNA from 1 species
AGCGAUGGGGUGACGCAGGAAGGUAGUCCAGCCCGGGCGGUGGUAGUCCCGGGGUAAGGGUGUAGGCCGUGUGAUAGGCAAAUCCGUCACACGUUAAGGCUGAGACCUGAUGCCGAGCCGAUUGUGGCGAAGUGGAUGAUCCUAUGCUGUCGAGAAAAGCCUCUAGCGAGUUUCAUGGCGGCCCGUACCCUAAACCGACUCAGGUAGUCAGGUAGAGAAUACCGAGGCGUUCGGGUGAACUAUGGUUAAGGAACU